AGCAGUGUGGCUUAGUGGAUAGAGUAUGGGCCUGGGAGUCAGAAGGACCUGGGUUCCAAUCCCAGCUCCGCCA
rnacentral:tRNA from 1 species